AGCAACCAGCGGGACCUGCCGUCCCCCGGGGCACCCCGAGGGGUCUGCGCCCGCUUCUUUCCGAAACGGGAAGGCGCUGGGGGCUCGGCAGCCAGAGGGACGGGUUCAGGGAGCGUCCGGUGAGCCUAAGACGCGCCUUUGCCGGGGUUGCCGGGUGUCUGCCUCUCACUUAGGUGUGCGCGGCGCUCGCAAGUGGUCAGCAUAACGCCGGGCGAAUUCGGAAAGCCCGUGCGUCCGUGGACGACCCACUUGGAAGGAGUUGGGAGAAGUCCUUGUUCCCACGCGCGGACGCUUCCCUCCGUGUGUCCUUCGAGCCACAAAAAGCCCAGACCCUAACCCGCUCCUUUCUCCCGCCGCGUCCAUGCAGAACUCCGCCGUUCCUGGGAGGGGAAGCCCGCGAGGCGUCGGGAGAGGCACGUCCUCCGUGAGCAAAGAGCUCCUCCGAGCGCGCGGCGGGGACGCUGGGCCGACAGGGGACCGCGGGGGCAGGGCGGAGAGGACCCGCCCUCGAGUCGGCCCAGCCCUAACACUCAGGACCGCCUCCAGCCGGAGGUCUGCGCCCUUCUGAGGACCCUGCCUGGGGGAGCUUAUUGCGGUUCUUUUGCAAAUACCCGCUGCGCUUGGACGGAGGAAGCGCCCACGCGUCGACCCCGGAAACGAAGGCCUCCCUGAUGGGAACGCAUGCGUCCAGGAGCCUUUAUUUACUCUUAAUUCUGCCCGAUGCUUGUACGUGUGUGAAAUGCUUCAGAUGCUUUUGGGAGCGAGGUGUUACAUAAAUCAUGGAAAUGCCUCCUGGUCUCACCACACCCAGGGUGACAGCUGAGAUGCGGCUUCUCCAGGGUGGAGCCUCCUCGUUUUCCAGAGCUGCUUGUUGAAGUCUUCCCAGGGCCCCUGACUUGCACUGGAAACUGCUCACCUUGGCAUCGGGAUGUGGAGCAAGAAAUGCUUUUGUUUUCAUUCAUCCUAGUGUUCAUAAAAUGGAAAACAAAUAAGGACAUACAAAAACAUUAAUAAAAUAAAUUAAUGGAACUAGAUUUUUCAGAAAGCACAACAAACACAAAAUCCAAGUAUUGCCAUGUCAGCAACACAUUCCUACUUUAAGUUUUAUGAAGUUAAUUGGAGUAGUGGAGAACAAAAGUGGAUGUGGGGCAGAUCUGCGUCCUGCAUGUGUCUUGCAGCCAGACUGUUCCAGCUGUUGCAGACCUCAAAAUAGAGAGGACCCAGGUUUUCUGAUUUUGCCUUCUUUUUUUUUUUUUUAAAUUUAUUAUUGUUAUACUUUAAGUUUUAGGGUACAUGUGCAUGAUGUGCAGGUUAGUUUCAUAUGUAUACAUGUGCCAUGCUGGUGUGCUGCACCCACUAACUCGUCAUCUAGCAUUAGGUAUAUCUCCCAGUGCUAUCCCUCCCCCCUCCCCCCACCCCACAACAGUCCCCAGAGUGUGAUGUUCCCCUUCCUGUGCCCAUGUGUUCUCAUCGUUCAAUUCCCACCUAUGAGUGAGAAUAUGCGGUGUUUGGUUUUUUGUUCUUGCGAUAGUUUACUGAGAAUGAUGAUUUCCAAUUUCAUCCAUGUCCCUACAAAGGACAUGAACUCAUCCUUUUUUAUGGCUGCAUAGUAUUCCAUGGUGUAUAUGUGCCACAUUUUCUUAAUCCAGUCUAUCAUUAUUGGACAUUUGGGUUGGUUCCAAGUCUUUGCUAUUGUGAAUAGUGCCGCAAUAAACAUACGUGUGCAUGUGUCUUUAUAGCAGCAUGAUUUACAGUCCUUUGUGUAUAUACCCAGUAAUGGGAUGGCUGGGUCAAAUGGUAUUUCUAGUUCUAGAUCCCUGAGGAAUCGCCACACUGACUUCCACAAUGGUUGAACUAGUUUACAGUCCCACCAACAGUGAGAGGACCCAGGUUUUCUAAGACCAAGUCGCUACACUCUUAACUGCAGUGGGUGGAGUUUGGGGAUGGACUUCUCCUCAGCUCCCUGCUGCCGCUCUCCAGCGUCCCCGGGUGCAGACCCUCUGCCGCCACAGCUGGAGACUCCCAAAGGAGGCAAGCAAGCCUCAGCGAUCCCAGGAGGCCCCAUCGGCCCUUCCCAGGCUUUCCUCUCUUUAAGCUCCUCCUCCUUCUUCCCUUUCUUCAGAAUCGAAUCUAGGCAAGGAUUUCACAGUCUGAGCUUUGACCAAGGACAGUAACUGGGUCCAGGGAUGGAAAACUUUGCUUCUAGGUCCCGUUUUGCUACAGCCUUGCAAGAGGACUGUGAUCAGGCCUCAGUUUCCGUCUCUCUAAACUGAGGAGUGCUCUGCGGGGAUCUCUGCCUCCUUUACAAUAUUUCCUCCAGUGAUGUCUUCAUUAUUAGAGCUGCUGACUUCAAAUGACAUUUCAUAAUGUUGUCCCUCUCUGUUGUGUCAUCCAGAGUCGUUUUUCUUCUUAUAUCUUGAAAAUAGAUAACUAAGAUAAUAUGAAUAUCAAACUGAGCCCCUUUCUUCGGAUUUUGUAACAAGGAAAAUUCCUAGUAAUGAUGAAGUAACUAAAUGAAUCUGGAUGUGAGCUUUAUUUUAUGAUUGGAUUAGGGUAUAUCCAUGAGCCUUGGACUUAUCUAAAACUUUAAUUAAUCUAAAAUUAUGCAGUGUUCAUUACUUAGCAAAGGUAUCAUGGCUUGGUGUCUAGCAUUCUUGGUAGAAAGCCAUCGCUGUGUUAGGGAGUGUUGGCUGUUUAUUGAGGCCAUCGGUGAGGCAAUGCAAGACAGACAAAUGUGGCUUCAGUACUACUAAUAUGACAGCAGACAGCCACCAGCUGGAAAGGUGUAUUGAGAUUGUAAAGAUGUGCUCCUUCCCGAGGCCAGGGACCAGGGCCACUUACAGUCCCACAAUCAUCUUUUUGAACUGUAAAUCUGAAUUCCUUUCCCCAUGACAAAGUUGGGCAGGGAACCAUCAAACUGGGAUUCUGGAAAUCAGGAUGGGGGAGCAGAGAAUCCUGCACCCUCACAAACCCCUUUUGCUGUGUUUGCUCCUGGUGCAAGUUCUCACUUCUUCAUGGCUUGGGGGCUGAGCAGAGUUCCUGGGGGUGUUUGUGCUACCUCAGCUCUCUGUUCCCACUGCUUGGAGCCGGAGAGGAGGCAGGGAUAGAAGUCAUGGAUUAAAGGUCUGGAGACAGGGCAGGAAGAACGGCAAGAUUCAGAGGAAAAUGUUUGUUUACAGCCAGAAUCAAUUGAUAGGCAUCCACACAGCGUUGGGGAGAAUGAUGCAGCACAGUGCCCUGGCCUGGCACGCAGGAGCCUAUGACCGUUCCGUCCCCUGAGCCAGCUCAGGCUCCUCACCCCCACCCUCAGAAUGUGGGCUUUCAUGGCUGCUCCAUCCUGGGCCACAGCCCUUCACCAGGCUCCUCUCUGGCAGGGCCACAGAGAAUAAAAGGGAGCAGAAACCACAUCCUGCACACAGAUAGAACCUGCAUCAGCCAAAGUGUCCAUCUGACCAAGGGUCUCCCUUCCGCACUGCCCAGGGGGCUACAACAUGUUGUUUGGACCACGGUUACUAUACCUGACUCUCUUUAAUUUUUUGGCUCAAAUUGUUUUCUCUCCUUGAUUAGAUUAGGUACCUUGGUAAUAGUUACGUUUGUCUGGAACCUAGAGGUUGCAAGAUCAUGAAACUGCAGUUAUACCUUCCCAGAGGGGUUGAUGGCAUCCUCAGAUCCUCGACUUGUGGAAUGACCUGUGUGGAUCUGACUCUAGGCCAUCUCCCAUUGGAAGAGGAGGAAGGCUUUUAUGGUUGAAAGAAGGACCAUUGCAUUAUAAUAGGUGCAGUCAUUUUGGAAUUCUCGGUAUGGGGAGAGGCAUGUGCUUGUGUAUGUGCACACAUGCAUACUUGCUCAGGAACCAAGGGGGUGGCCUACAGUGACAUAUGUCAUGAUUUUUGUUUAUUCUGCUGCUGUAUUCAUUUUCAAUUGCUGUUAUAACAAAUUACUACACACUUUGUGCCUUAAAAGAACACAAAUUUAUAUUUUUACAAUUCUGCAGACCAGAGGUCCAGCAGGGUCUAAAAUCAAGGUGCCAGCAGUGCUGUGUUUGUUCCUGGAGGUUCUAGGGGAGAAUCACUUCCCGCACAUUUGGGCUGUGGGCAGAAUUCAAUUCCUUGUGGUUGUAGGACGGAGGUUGCCAUUUUCCUGCUGGAUGAGGGCCAUUCCCAGCUUCUAGAAGCCAUCUGCAUGCCUUGGUUUGAGGACCCUUCGACUAUCUUCAAAACCAGCAAGGGUAGGUCAGACCCUUCUCACAGGCUCUUCUUCCUUCCUUUUUAUGGACUCAUCUCAUUAGGUUUGCAGCCACUUGAAUAAUCCCAGAUCAUUUCUCUAUUUUAAGGUCAGCUGAUCAGGUCAACUGAAUUCUACCUAUAACCUUAAUUAUUUUUUGCCAUGUACGGUAACGUAUGCAUAGAUUCUGGGGAUUAGUAUGGAGACAUACUAAUUACACUGUAGCUAGAUAUUUGUGUCGGAGGGGGGGCAUUAUUCUGUACCUAGAAGAGAGGGGAUUUGUGGGGCUGCAGGGUGUGUACAUGUUCAGUGUUAACUGAUUCUGCUAAGUGGUUUUCCAAAGAGGCAUGCCCACUAAACACUAUUCUCUUUCAUUGGUCUGUUUAUUUAUUCUCAUGUCCAUAUCAUACUGUUUGAAUUACUGUCUUGAUAUCUAGUAUUCUAAAUAUUCUUACUUCGUUAUUCUUUGAAAUUGUGUUUGCUAUUUUAGCCUUUUGCAUUUCCAUAUAAACUUUAGAAUCAACUGGCUAAUUUCCAUAAAAAUAACUGCUGGGAUGUUGAAUGGGAUUGCUUAGAUUCUAUAGAUUAUGUGGAGGAAUAAUUUAUAUUUUACAAUAUAAAGAUUUUCAGCCCAUGAACAUGGAAUAUCUCUUUAUUUAUUUGAAGAUACUCUUCUUUAAUUUAUGUCAAUGUUUUAUAGUUUUCUUUCACACAUUUCACUAGUUCCUAACUGUUUGAUAUUUUUAAUGCAAUUGUAAAUGAUGUCAUUUAAAAAUUAAUUUUCAGGCAAGGUACAGUGGCUCACUCCUGUAAUCCCAGCACUAUGGGAGGUUGAGGCAGGAGGAUCACUUGAGGCCAGGAGUUCAAGACCAGCCUGGGCAACACAGGGAGACCCCAUCUCAAAAAAAAAAAAUUUAGCCAAGCGUGGUAGUACCUGACUGUAAUCCUAAUUACUGGGGAGGCAGAGAUGGGAGGAGGCUGAGGUGGGAGGAGGCUGAGGUGGGAGGGCUCUGCUUGAGCCCAAGAGUUCAAGGCUGCGGUGAGUUUGUGCCACUGUACUCCAGCCUGGGUGACAGAGUAAGAUCCUGUCUGAAAAAAUAAUUUUCUAAUUGUUGCUAUUGUUUCAAAAUACAUCUGAUUCGUGUAUACUAUCUUGUAUCUAAUUACUUUGCUUGUUAAUUAUAAAUUUCUUUGGAUUUUUCAUGUACACAUCCUAUCUAUCCAAAGGAACAGAAAUCAAAAUAUAAAAGAUAUAUGUAAACUUGGAAUGUUUAUUGCAGCACUAUUCACAAUAGCAAAUAUAUAGAAUCAACCCGUUUUCAUCAACAAAUGAAUGAAUAAAGAAAAUGUCAUAUAUAUAUGUAAUGGAAUUCUAUUCAGUCAUAAAAAGAAAGAAAACAUGUCAUUUGUGGCAACAUGGAUGGAAUUGGAGAGAAUUAUCUUAAGUGAAAUAAUCCAAACACAAAGAAAUAAAUAUUGCGUGUUCUCACUUGUAUGUGGGAACUAAAAUAUUUGAUCACAUGGAGGUCAAGAGGGGAAAAAUAAAUAACAGAGACUGGGAAGGGUGAGUGUGGGAGAAAAGAGAGGAAGAGGAGGACUGGGUUAAAGGGUACAAACAUAUGGUAAGACAGAAGGAAUUAAUUCCAUAUUUGAUGGUGGAGUAGGGGGACUGUACUUAACAAAAAUCGAUUUUACUUGGGUGAUGGCUGUCCUCAAUACGUUGACUUGACCGCUAUGCGUUAUAUACAUGUACCAAAAUUUCUUAUGUACCCCAUAAGUUUAUAGAAAUAAAAAACAGCAAAAAAUUGUAUAAAUAA